rnacentral:rRNA from 1 species
GGUUAAGCGACUAAGCGUACACGGUGGAUGCCCCCGGCAGUCAGAGGCGAUGAAGGACGUGCUAAUCUGCGAAAAGCGCCGGCGAGGUGAUAUGAACCUUUGACCCGGCGAUGUCCGAAUGGGGAAACCCAGUGUGUUUCGACACACUAUCGUUAACUGAAUACAUAGGUUAACGAGGCGAACCGGGGGAACUGAAACAUCUAAGUACCCCGAGGAAAAGAAAUCAACCGAGAUUCCCCCCAGUAGCGGCGAGCGAACGGGGAGCAGCCCGGAGUCUGAAUCAGCUUGUGUGUUAGUGGAACGGUCUGGAAAGUCCGACGGUACAGGGUGAUAGUCCCGUACACGAAAAUGCACAGGUUGUGAACUCGAAGAGUAGGGCGGGACACGUGGUAUCCUGUCUGAAUAUGGGGGGACCAUCCUCCAAGGCUAAAUACUCCUGACUGACCGAUAGUGAACCAGUACCGUGAGGGAAAGGCGAAAAGAACCCCGGCGAGGGGAGUGAAAAAGAACCUGAAACCGUGUACGUACAAGCAGUGGGAGCACCUUCGGGUGUGACUGCGUACCUUUGUAUAAUGGGUCAGCGACUUAUAUUCUGUAGCAAGGUUAACCGUAUAGGGGAGCCGAAGGGAAACCGAGUCUUAACUGGGCGUUAAGUUGCAGGGUAUAGACCCGAAACCCGGUGAUCUAGCCAUGGGCAGGUUGAAGGUUGGGUAACACUAACUGGAGGACCGAACCGACUAAUGUUGAAAAAUUAGCGGAUGACCUGUGGCUGGGGGUGAAAGGCCAAUCAAACCGGGAGAUAGCUGGUUCUCCCCGAAAGCUAUUUAGGUAGCGCCUCGUGAACUCAUCUUCGGGGGUAGAGCACUGUUUCGGCUAGGGGGCCAUCCCGGCUUACCAACCCGAUGCAAACUACGAAUACCGAAGAAUGUUAUCACGGGAGACACACGGCGGGUGCUAACGUCCGUCGUGAAGAGGGAAACAACCCAGACCGCCAGCUAAGGUCCCAAAGUCAUGGUUAAGUGGGAAACGAUGUGGGAAGGCACAGACAGCCGGGAUGUUGGCUUAGAAGCAGCCAUCAUUUAAAGAAAGCGUAAUAGCUCACUGGUCGAGUCGGCCUGCGCGGAAGAUGUAACGGGGCUAAACCAUGCACCGAAGCUGCGGCAGCGACACUUAUGUGUUGUUGGGUAGGGGAGCGUUCUGUAAGCCGUUGAAGGUGUGCUGUGAGGCAUGCUGGAGGUAUCAGAAGUGCGAAUGCUGACAUAAGUAACGAUAAAGCGGGUGAAAAGCCCGCUCGCCGGAAGACCAAGGGUUCCUGUCCAACGUUAAUCGGGGCAGGGUGAGUCGACCCCUAAGGCGAGGCCGAAAGGCGUAGUCGAUGGGAAACAGGUUAAUAUUCCUGUACUUGGUGUUACUGCGAAGGGGGGGACGGAGAAGGCUAUGUCAGCCGGGCGACGGUUGUCCCGGUUUAAGCAUGUAGGCGGAGGUUCCGAGGUAAAUCCGGUACCUUGUUAACGCUGAGGUGUGAUGACGAGGCACUACGGUGCUGAAGUGAUAAAUGCCCUGCUUCCGAGGAAAAGCCUCUAAGCAUCAGGUAACACGAAAUCGUACCCCAAACCGACACAGGUGGUCAGGUAGAGAAUACCAAGGCGCUUGAGAGAACUCGGGUGAAGGAACUAGGCAAAAUGGUGCCGUAACUUCGGGAGAAGGCACGCUGAUAUGUAGGUGAAGCCCCUGCGGGCGGAGCUGAAAUCAGUCGAAGAUACCAGCUGGCUGCAACUGUUUAUUAAAAACACAGCACUGUGCAAACACGAAAGUGGACGUAUACGGUGUGACGCCUGCCCGGUGCCGGAAGGUUAAUUGAUGGGGUUAGCGGCAACGCGAAGCUCUUGAUCGAAGCCCCGGUAAACGGCGGCCGUAACUAUAACGGUCCUAAGGUAGCGAAAUUCCUUGUCGGGUAAGUUCCGACCUGCACGAAUGGCGUAAUGAUGGCCGGGGCUGUCUCCACCCGAGACUCAGUGAAAUUGAACUCGCUGUGAAGAUGCAGUGUACCCGCGGCAAGACGGAAAGACCCCGUGAACCUUUACUAUAGCUUGACACUGAACACUGGUCCUUGAUGUGUAGGAUAGGUGGGAGGCUUUGAAGUGUGGACGCCAGUCUGCAUGGAGCCGUCCUUGAAAUACCACCCUUUAAUGGCUGGUGUUCUAACGUAGACCCGUGAUCCGGGUUGCGGACAGUGUCUGGUGGGUAGUUUGACUGGGGCGGUCUCCUCCCAAAGAGUAACGGAGGAGCACGAAGGUUGGCUAAUCCCCGGUCGGACAUCAGGAGGUUAGUGCAAUGGCAUAAGCCAGCUUGACUGCGAGCGUGACGGCGCGAGCAGGUGCGAAAGCAGGUCAUAGUGAUCCGGUGGUUCUGAAUGGAAGGGCCAUCGCUCAACGGAUAAAAGGUACUCCGGGGAUAACAGGCUGAUACCGCCCAAGAGUUCAUAUCGACGGCGGUGUUUGGCACCUCGAUGUCGGCUCAUCACAUCCUCGGGGCUGAAGUAGGUCCCAAGGGUAUGGCUGUUCGCCAUUUAAAGUGGUACGCGAGCUGGGUUUAGAACGUCGUGAGACAGUUCGGUCCCUAUCUGCCGUGGGCGCUGGAGAAUUGAGGGGGGCUGCUCCUAGUACGAGAGGACCGGAGUGGACGCAUCACUGGUGUUCGGGUUGUCAUGCCAAUGGCACUGCCCGGUAGCUAAAUGCGGAAGAGAUAAGUGCUGAAAGCAUCUAAGCACGAAACUUGCCCCGAGAUGAGUUCUCCCUGAGACCUUGAGUCUCCUGAAGGAACGUUGAAGACGACGACGUUGAUAGGUCGGGUGUGUAAGCGCAGCGAUGCGUUGAGCUAACCGAUACUAAUGAACCGUGAGGCUUAACCUU